rnacentral:rRNA from 1 species
UACGUAGGGGGCUAGCGUUGUCCGGAAUCAUUGGGCGUAAAGAGCGUGUAGGCGGUCCGGUAAGUCCGUUGUGAAAGUCAGGGGGCUCAACCCUUGAAUGCCGGCGGAUACUGUCGGGCUAGAGUCCGGAAGAGGCGAGUGGAAUUCCCGGUGUAGCGGUGAAAUGCGCAGAUAUCGGGAGGAACACCAGUGGCGAAGGCGACUACCUGGCCUGUUCUUGACGCUGAGGCGCGAAAGCUAGGGGAGCAAACGGG